UACGUAGGGUGCGAGCGUUGUCCGGAAUUAUUGGGCGUAAAGAGCUCGUAGGCGGUUUGUCGCGUCGACUGUGAAAACCUACAGCUUAACUGUGGGCUUGCAGUCGAUACGGGCAGACUUGAGUUCGGUAGGGGAGACUGGAAUUCCUGGUGUAGCGGUGAAAUGCGCAGAUAUCAGGAGGAACACCGGUGGUGUAAACGGCUUUCUGGACCGUAACUGACGCUGAGGCACGAAAGCGUGGGUAGCAAACAGG
rnacentral:rRNA from 1 species